AUUGAACGCUGGCGGCAGGCCUAACACAUGCAAGUCGAACGAGUGGCGGACGGGUGAGUAAUGUCUGGGAAACUGCCUGAUGGCGGGGGAUAACUACUGGAAACGGUAGCUAAUACCGCAUCCCAUCGGAUGAGCCCAGAUGGGAUUAGCUAGUAGGUGGGGUAAAGGCUCACCUAGGCGACGAUCCCUAGCUGGUCUGAGAGGAUGACCAGCCACACUGGGACGGAGACACGGUCCAGACUCCUUCGGGAGGCAGCAGUGGGGAAUAUUGCACCAUGGGCGCAAGCCUGAUGCAGCCAUGCCGCAUGUAUGAAGAAGGCCUUCGGGUUGUAAAGUACUUUCAGCGGGGAGGCGUUACCCGCAGAAGAAGCACCGGCUAACUCCGUGCCAGCAGCCGCGGUAAUUC
rnacentral:rRNA from 1 species